rnacentral:rRNA from 1 species
CCUACGGGGGGCAGCAGUGGGGGAUAUUGCUCAAUGGGGGAAACCCUGAAGCAGCGAAGCCGCGUGAGUGAUGAAGGAUUUCGGUUUGUAAAGCUCUAUUAGUAGGGAAGAAAAUGACAGUAUCUGACCAAUAAGCACCGGCUAACUACGUGACAGCAGCCGCGGUAAUACGGAGGGUGCAAGCGUUAUUCGGAUUGACUGGGGGUAAAGGGCGCGUAGACGGGUUCGUAAGUCAGAUGUGAAAGCCUAUGGCCCAACCCUAGGACUGCAUUUGAAACUGUGUAACUGGAGUACAGGAGGGGCAGGCGGAAUUCCUGGUGUAGCGGUGAAAUGCGUAGAUAUCAGGAGGAACACCGACUGCGAAGGCGGCCUGCUGGACUGUAACUGACGUUGAUGCUCGAAAGCGUGGGGAGCAAACAGGAUUAGAUACCCUAGUAGUC